rnacentral:rRNA from 1 species
UACGUAGGGCGCAAGCGUUGUCCGGAAUUAUUGGGCGUAAAGAGCUCGUAGGCGGUUUGUCGCGUCUGCUGUGAAAACCUAAGGCUCAACCUUGGGCUUGCAGUGGGUACGGGCAGACUAGAGUGCGGUAGGGGAGACUGGAAUUCCUGGUGUAGCGGUGAAAUGCGCAGAUAUCAGGAGGAACACCGGGCGGCGAAGGCGGGUCUCUGGGCCGUAACUGACACUGGAGGAGCGAAAAGCGUGGGGAGCGAACAGG